UACGUAGGGGGCGAGCGUUGUCCGGAAUUACUGGGCGUAAAGGGAGCGUAGGCGGUUAAUUAAGUUAGAUGUGAAAUACCCGGGCUUAACUUGGGGGGUGCAUCUAAUACUGGUAAACUAGAGUACAGGAGAGGAAAGCGGAAUUCCUAGUGUAGCGGUGAAAUGCAUAGAUAUUAGGAGGAACAUCGGUGGCGAAGGCGGCUUUCUGGACUGACACUGACGCUGAGGCUCGAAAGCGUGGGGAGCAAACAGG
rnacentral:rRNA from 1 species